rnacentral:rRNA from 1 species
CCUACGGGUGGCAGCAGUGAGGAAUAUUGGUCAAUGGGCGAGAGCCUGAACCAGCAAAGUCGCGUGAAGGAUGAAGGCUCUAUGGUUUGUAAACUUCUUUUAUAUGGGAAUAAAGUGAGGAACGUGUUCCUUUUUGUGUGUACCAUAUGCAUAAGCAUCGGCUAACUCCGUGCCAGCAGCCGCGGUAAUACGGAGGAUGCGAGCGUUCUCCGGAUUUAUUAGGUUUAAAGGGUGCGUAGGUGGUUAAUUAAGUCAGCGGUGAAAGUUUGGGGAUCAACCAGAAGAUUGCCGUUGAAACUGGGUGACUUGAGUACAGUAGAGGUAGGCGGAAUGCGGGGUGUAGCGGUGAAAUGCAUAGAUAUCACGCAGAACUCCGAUUGCGAAGGCAGCUUACUAAACUAUAACUGACACUGAAGCACGAAAGCGUGGGGAUCAAACAGGAUUAGAUACCCUAGUAGUC